rnacentral:lncRNA from 1 species
GAGAGAAACAUCUAAGAUGGUUUCUUGGUUUCUUGCCAGAACUAUCUGGAAGGAAAGUAAUGGGAGAUUCUAGACUCCACAAAGGCUGAGGCCUCAUCCUUUCCCCUUACCCCAUCCCAGCACCCCACAGGGCCUGCAUGGGGUGGGUGCUCAAUACAUAAAUAUUUGUUGAAUGAAUUUGAUGCCAGCAGUGGGGAGGGGGACCAAGGGAAGGAUAACAGGCUUGGAGGGGUGUUCACAGUAUGGUCAACGUUAAGAUACCCACAGGACCAUCAUGUCAGGCUGGCCUGUGGGCUGCCAGACAUGCAGCCUUGGAGAGAGGUGCUGGAGGGAGAUAUAAACUUUGGAGCCAAUAGCAACCAAGUGAAAACAAAAGCCACACGUGGGUUUAAAGUCCAGAGAUGGCUCAGAUCUCUCAGCGGGCUCCAUGAGAUUUGUCAUAAUAAUUAGAGACAAUCUCAGAUGCUGGGUGUAAAGGGAGCACGGUGACAGAUGAAUGUAAACUAAUUAUCCUCACAGCAACCUUGAGAAACAGGAAUGUGCAUGCAUGUUUCCUUGCUAAGAUACGGAGAGGAAAAAGGACCAGGAGAGUUGCAUGAUGUCCCAGAAGGCUGCCAGAGCCCUGGCACAGCUGCAGGAACACCCAGGAACUCCUUCCUCCACUAUCCACCCUUGGAAAUGUCAGCAUGGGUACUUUCCUCAUCAAGGAAUGAUUUUAAGAAUUUGUUUUCAAAAUAAAAAGGGGUUUUAGAGUUGGGAAGCCCUGCUGGUUGUAAUCAGAUGUGUUUUAUGGGACCAUUCACCAGCACUUGAAGAACAGGGAUGACCUAUAAAUGUAUUCAUGGAUUCAGACCCAGGGCAGGUUUCAUGGGCUGAUUACAAAUGCCUUGGGGAUGGCAUCAGCAUUCAGGAGACACAGUCACCCCUGAACACCAGCCACAGUGCCAUACACACCUUCACCACCUGCACUCCCACCUCCUCCUCAUCCCUGCUGCUGUGAUGCCAACUCCUCAGUCUCAGCAGCUCCUGGAAGCUCUAGGACACCUUUCAAGAAAACCACAAGUCCUUAUCCAGAUCAGGGCAGCCCAGGACAUUAUCUUUGUCCCCUCAACCCACAUAAGCCCAGCCUAUUCAGCCUAAUCCGCAUGACUUCCUCAAUCAGCCUGGCAUCCCACUCUACCAGGUCCCCCUCCCACCUCCUCCACCAUAAUAAGUUUUAUGCAGAGGGUAUAGCACUUGAAGCUAGGCUGACCUGGCCUCCAGUCCUGACCACUUAGACCCUGAUCUUGCAUGAGUCAGUCUCAGAGACUCAACUUUCCCAUCCAUGAAAGAUCUCUCUCCUUGUCUGUACCCUCCUGGGCCUAGCACCAUGCUUGGUGCACAUUUGGUGGUGGUCCACAGAUGCCACGUGGAUGCAUAAAUGCACGGCUUCCUGAGAGGAUGACACAGAUGCACGUGGAUUUUUAUCACUUGCUGAAUGGAAGUGAGACUUAACAGGGACCUCUUAGGAGCCUAUGGGCUCCCCCAAGCAUAAAAACAAAAAAACAAAAAAACUUCUUCCUUUCCUUCAAGGGAAAUUUCAGGCACCUAGCUUUCCCUGAGAAGUAAAUGUGAUAAGGAAGAAGGUAAUACUAGCUUAAGACCAUAGCCAAGGAAGUUAGAAUCAUGGGAUGCUUGGUUCCCUGGUAGAAACUAGAGAUAACAUCUUAACACAGGUCACUGAGUUGUUUUUCAGAAACCUGGAUCCCCACCAAAUGGAUCUGCUGGCACCUAGACUUCAGGUGACUGGUCACGAGCAUCUGCUAUCCAGUUUACACACAGGCAGCAAAGUGUGCAGCUAUGUUGCUUCCAUGUCUCUGGGCUAUACAGGAGGCAUGGCACCAGCAUCUGCUCAGCUUCUGGGGAGCCCUCAGGAAGCUUCCAAUCAUGGUGGAAGGUGAAGAGGGAGCUGUCAUCUCACAUCGUGAGAGCAGGAACAAGAGUCUGAGGGACUUCUACACUGCUGGUGUGAAUGUAAACUAGUACAACCACUACGGAAAACAGUGUGGAGAAAAGUAGAACUACAAUUUGAUCCAGCAAUCCCACUACUGGGCAUCUACCCAGAGGAAAAGAAGUCAUUAUAUGAAAAAGAUACUUGCACAUGCAUGUUUAUAGCAGCGCAAUUUUCAAUUGCAAAAACGUGGAACCAACCCAAAUGCCCACCGAUUAACAAGUGGAUAAAGAAACUGUGGUGUAUAUAUGAUAGAAUACUACUCAGCCAUAAAUGGAAUGAAUUAAUGGCAUUUACAGUGACCUGGAUGAGACUGGAGACUAUUAUUCUAAGUGAAGUAACUCAGGGAUGGAAAACCAAACAUCAUAUUCUUUCACUCCUAUGAGGAUGCAAAGGUAUAGGAAUGACACAAUAGACUUUGGGGACUCAGGGGAAAGGUGGGAAGGGGGUGAGGGAUAAAAGACUACAAAUUGGGUGCAGUAUGUACUGCUUGGGUGAUGGGUGCACCAAAAUCUCACAAGUCACCACCAAAGAACUUACUCAUGUAAUCAAAUACCAUCUGCUCCCCAAUAACGUACGGAAAUAAAAAAAAUUAAAAAAAAGAGUCUGAAGGGGAAGAUGCCACACACUCUUAAACAGCCAGAUCUUGCAAUAACUCACUCACUAUUGCAAGGAUAGCAUGAAGAGGACGGCGCUAAACCAUUCUUGAGAAAUCCACCUCCAUGAUACAAUCACCUCCCACCACGGCCCACCUCCAACACUGGGGAUUACAAUUUAACGUGAGACGUAGAGAGGACAACAUCCAAACUAUAUCAAUAGUAUUUGUUGCAUUUUUUUGCAUUUCCUAAUAAAAACUUAAAUAUGUGAGCUAUCCAAACAAACAUAUCCAAAUGGGCCCCAAUAUUUAUAACUUAUAAUAUGGUAGUGACUCAUGAGGAAGAAAUGAUAGGGGCAGGAGGGCAUUUGAGAAGGCAACAGUGUACAGGGCUCUGCAGGAGGCCCUGAGGUCACACAGUACACUGGAAAAGACUCCAGACUCCCUGGGAUGGAGGCUGCAGGGAUGGGGAAGAAAAGUGGAUCCAGGAGGCCUGGGUUCUAGUCUUCCUCCACAGCUAAAAACUUAGUGCUCUGGACAAGCCCUUCAUCUCCCUGGGCCUCAGGUGUCUCAUCUAUAAAAUGAGCAUGCUUGGACCUUAUCUGGAAGAAAUGCUUUCCUGAUGUUCUUUCCAGGGCUUGCCAUGCUUAUUUCUUGCACUCUAGGAUUAAGGACAAGUAUUUUCAGUUCUCCCUACUACUGGCUGGCUGUGUGAGCCAUUUCUCUGCAAACAGGAGUAUUCUUGCUGUUCCUCUGGUCAAUCCAGAAGCUCAUGGGAAAGUGCUCUGCAAUCUUGAACAGGAAGCAAGGAAUGUGUCAUCCCUACUAAGAUCACCUUUCCUCUUCUCCUGUUCUCAGAGAUCCCCAGAAGCACCCCUGGGUCAACAGCCACCUUUGCCGGUAUUGACUGGGAAGAGUCCCCAAGAGUGGUAUUGGGUCCAGGCAGUUGUAGCACAUGAACCCUUGUGAGUGGAGGUUGACCUUCAGGAUGGUGGUGCUCACCCCGCUGAAGGAUUCUGGGCAAACUAAGCAAAGGGUUAGUUUACAAUUUUCCCUCCUGGUUUUUUUUUUUUUUUUUCCCUUGGAGGCUUAAAGAAGAACAAAUUCUUAUCCGCAGUAUCCUGUUCCCAGACUCCCAUCUUCUUGCCUCCCCAUGGGUCCUUAGCCUCCCUUAAAUCCUUUAGAAAAGAGCUGGCUCCCAGAAGAUACGGGGAGAACUGCAAUUUGCCCUUUUCCAAAGCCUAUCAUUCAUUCUGGGUCUUUUUCUCAUCCCCUCGCUUCCAGUUCUAAUUUGGUGCCUGGGGCCGCUCUCUUCUUGAAUGAUUAGAACCAGAGGGCAAUCAAAAAGAAACGAACUUAAUGCAGAGGAGAGAGGGGAGCCAGCAGCUUUGGGGACAUUUCUCUUCCCUCAAGGGAUGAGGUAGAUUUUCCUAAAUCUAUAAUUAACAAGAUGAAAAAAGACACUUCAAGAAUUCAUAACUCUCGGAAAAUACUCCAGUUUGGGAAACACUGGUCUGGAACUUGUGGUGAGUCAGCUCUUGAUUCGUGAAGACAGAGAUGCACAGUUACCACAUUGAGAAGAUAGUAGAUGAUGUAAACCCAUUGGAGAAAUGGAAACUUUCCCAUGGGAAAGGCUGCAUGGGUGGAGGAAGCAGUCCUCUGGUGGAAUAGAAUGAUAACAUACCAUUCAUCACAGCCCCAGGUAUUGUGCUAAGUGCUUCACAUUUAACUCAUACAACCACCCAUGAAGUAGGUCCAAUUAUUAGCCCCAUUUUGCAGGUGAAGAAAUAGAACCAUGCAAAUCUAUGCAGUUUUCCUAAGACCCUACAGCCAGUUAAAGCCACCGAAGCAACAAAUGCUGACAUCUAGAAGAAUGUGUGAAUAGGUGGCUGGAGUCAACAAACGCCUAAUUAAUCAAUUGGUGUCAUCUUAUACACCCAUCCCUCCAAAAGUUGCUAUUAUUUACUUUCCCUGGCCCCAGAAAAAGGGAGACCCCAGGACAGUGUCCUGGACUGGAAUUAGGACUGCUCCAUUCUAUAAACAGGUCAGCCCCUCAUUCUGUGUGUGACCUUGAGUGAGUGAGACCCUUCCUGAUCCUAGGUCUUGGUCUCUACAUCUGUCAGAGGAGGUAGUGAGACCAGCUGGCUUCGAAAGUUCAACCCAGUCCCACCGUUCCAGUACAUGCCAGUCUACCUGACUCCAUGGGGGAGGUUUUGGGGGUGGGGUGGAUCUUCACGUUGCAGCUGCUGUUUAUGACUUUUCCAAGGCCCCUCCUGCCUGGGCUCCUCGCCCCCGUGCUUGGCAUGCUUGGCUCUGUCUUGCAGCGAAGCGAGCUGUGUAGGAGUUUCUAGCUGCCUGUCUCUUUUGGGUUCUCCCUUUUGGGAUGUCUUUUCACACCUCCAAGUGCUGGGUGGGAGUGGACGAAUGCCACAUGUUUGGCUCUGAUGCCUUCCUUUCCCCUCUGUGGGAUGCUUCCAGCCCAAGAUCUGAGCAUGGAUGCCUCUGUGCUGACCCUUUGUGAGGCUGCUGGGUCAUGUCUGCAGAGCAGCAACCCAUCACCACAGCACUCUUCCUUACUCCCGGAAGGCCAGCAGAAGCUGCUCCUUUGCUGGAGCUUGUCCCCACCCAAUGGAGGGGGCUGAUUAAUUAUGUAGCCUCAGGCAAGUCACAUCUCCUCAUUGGGCCUCAGUUUUUACAUUUGUAAAAUGAAAGGAUUAGACCAGACAGGCCCCUAGGAUACUCCCAACUCUAAUGUUGUGCAGUUUAUUUCAUUUCUGUUUGUUUCAUGUCAUUCCCAGUGCCCUCAUAUCCUUCGUGUCUUGUAGACAUCAUAUCUGCCAGCUGAGAUUUUUAGCUGCUUCAAACACCCCACUGGAGGGACAUAUCUCAGCAUGCUAAGAUGAAUAUUUUGUUGGAAUAACUUGCUAUUAAAA